UGAGAUUGAAGGGGGUGGGAAAACAUGGAAGCAAGACCAGAGAGUAAGGCUACAACAUGUUGAUACAGGUGGUUUCCUACACAGCCAUGACAAGAAGUAUACUCGUAUCGCCGGUGGACAGCAAGAGGUCUGUGGUGUUCGUGAAAAGCGUCCGGAUAACCUCUGGUUAGCAGUGGAGGGCGUGUAUCUCCCACUCAGUGGAAGCAAGUAGACAAAAAUUAUUCACCAUGAGUUUUUGUUCAGCUCAACAGUGCCUAUUACUAGUACUCAAAAGUGA
rnacentral:misc_RNA from 1 species